AACACAUUUGCACAUAUUAGUGAGUAAUCUAUGUAGAUUUAUGGAAUGAGUAAAUUGGGUGAUUUGUGAGGGAACCUAAGUGCUCCUGAGGAAGCUGUUUUUAGCCCGAGUGUCUGAGUAAAUGGUAACAAUAUUUACCAAGAUCUGGAAUAGUGAAUGAAGAUCACUUUUGGGAAGAAAGUGAUAAAUUGCAACGAAAACAAGUUCCUUUGGGGUGCCUACCAGAAAUCCAGUUGGGGAAGACCAAGGCCCUAAAAAACUUUAGCAAGAUGUUAGAGUUUGAAAUAUAGUGUAGGAUUUUUGUCAGACAAGGCCCAUUCGGGACAACAGAAAUCAUACUGGAUUUUUAAAACAGGAAAUUUAAUGCAGGAACUUGGUUACACGGGUGGUGGGUGGCUGAAAAGGCACAGAGAUGAACAACCACAGGCCCAGAAGAGCAGAAGGGAGAGGGGUUAUAAGGGGCAGGAGCUGGAAACCCUGCGGUAAGCAGCCUACAGCUGGAGACCGGAUGUGUGAGUACGGGACACCCAUAUCUGUGCUGGCGCUCAGACCUCUUAAUUGGGGAGCAGCACGUGGGUGUGGCUUAAGACUUGAGGAAGGAGGGCUCCGUGAUUGGGGCUCAAACAGGGUGGAGGCAACCUGCACCCAGGGUUCACACUUCUGAGAAGGAGACAUAGCCAAACAGGGGCGUGGAGAGCCAGGGCACACGGCAAAGCCGGUCGUGGCUCAACUGGUCCUCUUAACUACCAAGGGGACAGACGCUGGGUGCUGCUGGUCCUUUCGAGAGAUCUUGUCGGGCUGCUGAGAAAGCCGAAAGAAGCGGGCGCCUGGAGCCCACCAUCUGCUGCCGUUGGGGUGCCGGUGGCUGGAGCAGGAAACGGAAGCAGGUGUCUUCACCUUUCGCCUUCAUUUCCCGUCCACUGCCAACGCGCUGACAGGAAGCCAGCUGGCCACGGGGUCUGGCAGAUGCAGCGUGCAGGGUGUCCACACACUGCCGUAGAGUGCAACACAGAAGAGGGGCUUGGAGCCCGGAAAUGCUGCUUUUUACAAAUUGACCUGUCCCAGGACGUCGUGUUUUAUUUUGCUCUCUUAUUUGCGUCUCUGCAGGAAGCAGGCCUUCAUCGAAUAGGUAAGAAAACUCUCCAGAGCAGAGCUGAGGGGAUUUGUUUCUUCUCUUCUGGAAGGGUGUGCUGUAAAUCUGUGAU